CGGAGAAACAUUUUCAACUUUGCCAUGGCAGAUAAGGUGUGUUAGGUACCAGUCCUUUGUUAAUAGGACUUUGUAUAGGAGUUAAAGAGGGGAGGGGCACGGGGUUUGGCGGGGUCUUCAGAUUCGGGAAAGUUCUUUUCUCUCGCUUUCAGUGACCCCCCAAAAGUACUUUUGCUCCCUCCUCCCAUUCCCCAGCUUCCCACUGGUGCGGGUGGACUUGGUCAGGUUCUUCCACCGAGAAGUGGGCGCUCCGUAGCGUCGGCGGUAGCCUAGGCAAAGGCUGAACAAGCCAGUGCUGGGGUAUUAGGGAGGCGGUGCCAAAGCCCGCCCAGGCGCAGCGGAGGCGGUGGCUCUCCCUCGCUCCUAGUUCCUCGCCUGCCCGGCGCUCAGCAGAGCCAGCCGGUUGCUGCUCUCAGUCGCAGGUUGUUAAUCUGUAGCCGUUGCUGUCGCCCGCUGGUUGUUAAUCUGUAGCUGCUGCGAAUCCGAGUUGCCAGUCCAUUCCAGCCCUUCUCCUCACACGUUACUUGGCUGUGAGGAGCGCUGCCCGAACCUCCCGGCAAGGACUCUGCUCCGAGGUAACAACUCACUUUUUCAUGUUCGACUGCUGGAGGUUUAUCCUGUGUAAGGAAACUGGAAGCAGCCAUUGUUCUUCACCCCCACUUCAGACCAAUGAGGUCAAAGAGGAAGAAACUGAGCAUCAAAUUGAUGUGUCUGAUGUCAUCCAGCUGGUUCAAGAUAGACAGCAGGUGACAGUUGUACAACCAGCCCUUACGGUUGAUGGAAUUGGCCCUUGGAUCCAUCACUCGCACGCGAGAGCCGCAGAACCGCCAAAAGCCACUGAAGUCUGGACAGCCACAUCCCAUCCUGACACUCCUCUGAAGCUUAAACUUCACCGGACAGCAUGACUCUCCCCUCGCACCCCCUUUCUCUCGGUUGUUUUCUCUCCCUUCUACAGGCAGGGUCCUCCCACCAGCCAUGGAAAUGGACCCUUAGUAGCUGGGAACAGGACAAAACCCUGCUCUCAGUGGUCACCUCUACGGCCCCGACUUUUGCCAUCCACCCCUGUGACUUGGUCCCAUCUGGACCAAGUACCCCGGACCGAGGAAACCAACCCCCAUCCCAGCUUCCUGGGAACCUCGCCCCAAUAUAGCUUUGCCCCGCCUCCAACCCUGGGAAGUCAUACUGCAACUCCCCGGGACAUUAUUACUGUGCGUAUUGGGGAUGGGAGACUUAUGCUUCCUUAUGGACAGCUUCCCACCCAGAGGAAUGGAUCUCAGUCCGCAGAGUCUCCAGCGGGGACCAGAUUCAGUGCACGAAACCCCCAUCGUACCCGGAAUCUGUCCAUCCUCCAGCACGGCCUUAUUACUGCUCUAAGAUCACAGUGACGUCCCCCGACCACAACAGCUGGGUCGUAGGACGAACCUGGGGCAUGAGGUUCUGGGAAGACGGGGCAGACAGAGGCGGGAAUUUCCUCAUCAAAAGGAA
rnacentral:lncRNA from 1 species